rnacentral:RNase_P_RNA from 1 species
CGGGUGAGCUGGACGAUCGCUGGCUUCGCGACGAAGAGUCCGGGCUAAAGCCCGGCACUACGCGAGCGAGGCGGGAGGAAAGUCCGGACACCGCUCUGCGUCAGCAGGGAAAUGGGCAACGCGCCUGGUAACGCCAGGGGAGCAAUGAUAGGCAGCCAUCGAAAGGUGAUUGCUGUUGCGGCUCACGGAAAGUUCCACAGAAAAUAAACCGCCGCGAGAGUUAGCUUCUGUGACGGGCGGCAGGGAAACCUGCUCAUCGUCUUUCAAAAGCGCUUUUGCUGGUAAGGGUGAAACGGUGGGGUAAGAGCCCACCGCUCGUCUGGCAACAGGCGAGGCAAGGAAAACCCCGCGUGGUGCAAGGCCAAAUAGGAGGGGAGAGCCGGCCCGGCUCGCCGAGCGAUGCAAACGAAAGUUUGCCGCGCUCCCUCAAAAGCGGCGCAAGCCGCGAUUGAGAGCAACCCUCGGGUAGGCUGCUGGAGCCGUGGCGCGAGCCGCGGCCUAGAGGAAUGAUCGUCAGGACUCCGACUUGUCGGGGUUCAACAGAAUCCGGCUUAUAUGGCUCAUCCGCUCU